rnacentral:rRNA from 1 species
UACGUAGGGUGCAAGCGUUGUCCGGAAUUAUUGGGCGUAAAGAGCUCGUAGGCGGUCUGUUGCGUCGGCUGUGAAAACCCGGGGCUCAACCCCGGGCCUGCAGCCGAUACGGGCAGACUAGAGUUCGGCAGGGGAGACUGGAAUUCCUGGUGUAGCGGUGAAAUGCGCAGAUAUCAGGAGGAACAUCAGUGGCGAAGGCGGCCUUCUGGUCCAGUACUGACACUCAAGUGCGAAAGCGUGGGGAGCAAACAGG